CUACCGUGGCAGUCACGGGUAACGGAGAAUUAGGGUUCGAUUCCGGAGAGGGAGCCUGAGAAACGGCUACCACAUCUACGGAAGGCAGCAGGCGCGCAAAUUGCCCAAUCCCGACACGGGGAGGCAGUGACAAGAAAUAACAACUCUAGGUUUUCUUAGAAGUGUAAUGAGGAUAAUUUACAAACCUUACCAAAUGCAAUUGGAGGGCAAGUCUGGUGCCAGCAGCCGCGGUAAUUCCAGCUCCAAUAGCGUAUAUUAAAGUUGUUGCAGUUAAAAAGCUCGUAGUUGAAAAUCUGAUUGCUCAGGUCUCCGGCCUUUAGGCGGGGAUUCUGACAGUCAUCCGCUUGCAAACAUAUGUUCGAUCUUCACCGGUUGGCUAUGUGAGUAAGCACUUUACCUUGAGAAAAACAGAGUGUUCCAGGCAGGUUUGUCCGGAAUGCAUUAGCAUGGAAUAAUAGAACAUGACUGAAGUCUAUUUAUUGGUUAAAGGCUUUAGUAAUGAUUAAUAGGAACAGUCGGGGGCAUUCGUACUCAGCAGUCAGAGGUGAAAUUCUAAGAUUUGCUGAAGACGAACUAAUGCGAAAGCAUUUGCCAAGGAUGUUUUCAUUAAUCAAGAACGAAAGUUAGGGGAUC
rnacentral:rRNA from 1 species